CGGUCCAUAUAUAUUUCUUUUCCACGGGUCUCGUUGUCUGAUACACGUGUUGCAGUACCCCCACUGUAACACCAGACCGCAACCAGACUUAGUCUGGUGACACCGCAUGUACUACAGCCGCAACCGGACUUAGAAGGUCUGGUGACCGACCGACAUGCACGUCUGGUAACAGCCGCAUAGUACCGCAACUGUGUCCCAGACGUAGGACGUCUGGUGUCCCAACCGACGGGUACCAAAGACAUCUGGUGCUUGUCCGACGCCUAUACAACCGCUCGGACUUUAGAAGGUCUGGUGCCCUGCGACUGUACAUCGGACUUUAGGAGACAUGGGGCGUGCGCAGCGACUGCCUCACCAAAGCCGUGAGACAGAACCGUGGACUGCAAAGAUGGGACAUAAAGACGCGUAUAAGUGCCUCUGAUAAAAUGGGAUUGACUCCACUUGUACCCUGACUGUUUGAAUUUAUGCUGAUUGACAAAAUAAAAAGCCUGGGGAAACCAGUGAAAUGUGAAUGUGGGAGGUUUCCAAAGGCAACUCUUCCCAUGUAACUGCCAGAUAAAACUUACAGUUCUUCUCUACAAAUCAAAGGCUGCCUGAGGAGUCACAGAUGAGACACCAGCUACCAGGUCCUUGGAAUGUUAAAAUCCUGCUGUAUGUCAUGAUGGCAGAUGCUGGCAUAGGUUGAACCUUAUUGAGGGAAUCAAGUUGGAGAGACAGGGUAUCUUUCCCAGAAAACAGCAAUUCAUGGGUAGGUACAUUUUGACCCUUCAAGCUUUUGCAGCUGCUUUACACCACCUGAAGGCCCUGCGUGUUCUUGAUCUGUAUCAUAAUCUGUACUCAUUAGGUCAAAUUUAGAGUAGCAUAUGAAUUAGCUGAAAGAAAUGGGGCACAUUUAAUAGAUAAUGCACUGCUGAGAUUAGAAGUGCACUGAAGUGGCUCAUAAUGUGUUACUCAAAGGCAUUUCUGCUUAAUUUUUGAAAAAUGACUAAUGAAAGAGGCAGACAGCAGUACACAGUGAACACUCUUGCUCCGACGUGUACUAUUAUCAGAUUUCAGGUAGGCUGCAACUGACCAGAUACCAUAAAGAUUUUUAGUGAAGCUGUGAGUAACAAAGAAGCACAGCACCAUCAGCAGCAUGGUUACAUCAACAAGGAGAAGGUCAGUGAGAGCUGCAGGUGAUCAGCAUCUCUUGGGGUCUGGCUCAGGAGCAGCUUUGGAACAAUCUGUCCAAAUAUACCUAACUUUCUCUUUUUCAAGCACCAACAGCCACAUAUCAUCUCCCAAAAUGCAGAUGUCUGCUGUUUGAAGUCAGCAUGUAACACAUCUGAUAUUCUGCUAUUCAGAAUGAUCACAAAACAUUACAAGACUGGAGGUCUGGAAGUGAGCUCAGGAGAAUUGGAGCUCAUCCUUAUUAAAAUGCUGGCCUGGUAGAACACAGUUUAUUUUCCACUUUGGUGAGUGCUGUGGGAGUUCACUGUGCCAAAUCCCUUCUUCUCUUACAACCUGAGCAUGUACCUAUAUCUACCUUGCAACAGCAGAGACAGAAACGAGCUCCUGAGUCUUAAAACUGUGCCUCAGUUUACACCCAAACAAGGAUUUUACACCUACUCAUAAAUUUAAGGACUUCUCAUGCAAGAGAGCUCUCUUCUUAAAAUUUAGGAAGUUACAGGUCUCCAGCCAAGAGGCAGGAAAUUACCUGUGUUAUAAACGCAUAUCAUAAUAUUGGCUUCUCGCAAGUAUUAAGGUGAAUAUUAUAUAAUGUUAGAAAUGCUUUUGCUGUGUGGAUGUAGUUUUCUUUCUUUUUAGCAAGAAUAUUAGCAAGUGUGAGCAAGUAAGAGAACCUCCAAUCAAACAGAGGAUGAGGCCUGAAAAGCUGCUAAUCAACACUUUGUCCAGAGAACAAAGGGACCCAAAGGCUGCUCUGCCCGGAGAACAGGAGGACCAGGGGAGCCCAGAGCUGCUAUCACCGCUCUGCCCGGGGAGCAAAGAGGCCAAAGCUGCUAUCAGCCCUUACUAUCUGAGGAAAUUAAGAGGCCCACUCGACUAUCAACUCUCACCUAACGAGCCCAGGUCCAAGAAUCAAAAGAAAUAAAACCGCAAGGCAGAGAAAUGCUCAUGCUCUAAAAA